UGGGGAAUCUUGCGCAAUGGGCGAAAGCCUGACGCAGCCAUGCCGCGUGAAUGAUGAAGGUCUUAGGAUUGUAAAAUUCUUUCAGUAGGGACGAUAAUGACGGUACCUACAGAAGAAGCCCCGGCUAACUUCGUGCCAGCAGCCGCGGUAAUACGAAGGGGGCUAGCGUUGCUCGGAAUUACUGGGCGUAAAGGGAGCGUAGGCGGGUUAUCAAGUUGGAGGUGAAAGCCCAGGGCUCAACCUUGGAAUUGCCUUCAAAACUGAUAGCCUAGAGUAUGAUAGAGGUAUGUGGAACUCCGAGUGUAGAGGUGAAAUUCGUAGAUAUUCGGAAGAACACCAGUGGCGAAGGCGACAUACUGGGUCAUGACUGACGCUGAGGCUCGAAAGCGUGGGGAGCAAACAGG
rnacentral:rRNA from 1 species